CACACUGGGACUGAGACACGGCCCAGACUCCUACGGGAGGCAGCAGUAGGGAAUCUUCCGCAAUGGACGAAAGUCUGACGGAGCAACGCCGCGUGAGUGAUGAAGGUUUUCGGAUCGUAAAGCUCUGUUGUUAGGGAAGAACAAGUACCGUUCGAAUAGGGCGGUACCUUGACGGUACCUAACCAGAAAGCCACGGCUAACUACGUGCCAGCAGCCGCGGUAAUACGUAGGUGGCAAGCGUUGUCCGGAAUUAUUGGGCGUAAAGGGCUCGCAGGCGGUUUCUUAAGUCUGAUGUGAAAGCCCCCGGCUCAACCGGGGAGGGUCAUUGGAAACUGGGGAACUUGAGUGCAGCNGAGGAGAGUGGAAUUCCACGUGUAGCGGUGAAAUGCGUAGAGAUGUGGAGGAACACCAGUGGCGAAGGCGACUCUCUGGUCUGUAACUGACGCUGAGGAGCGAAAGCGUGGGGAGCGAACAGGAUUAGAUACCCUGGUAGUCCACGCCGUAAACGAUGAGUGCUAAGUGUUAGGGGGUUUCCGCCCCUUAGUGCUGCAGCUAACGCAUUAAGCACUCC
rnacentral:rRNA from 2 species